UACGAAGGGGGCUAGCGUUGCUCGGAAUUACUGGGCGUAAAGCGCACGUAGGCGGCUCUUUAAGUCGGAGGUGAAAUCCUGGAGCUCAACUCCAGAACUGCCUUCGAUACUGAAGAGCUCGAGUCCGGGAGAGGUGAGUGGAACUGCGAGUGUAGAGGUGAAAUUCGUAGAUAUUCGCAAGAACACCAGUGGCGAAGGCGGCUUACUGGUCCGGAACUGGACGCUGAGGUGGCGGAAAGCGUGGGGAGCAAACAGG
rnacentral:rRNA from 1 species